AAUAACAGGCUAACUUUUUUUAUAUAAUAAAAUAAGAUCUUUAUGACUUGCUAUGCAGCCUACAAAUGCGACAUCAGAAGGAUGCAGCCUUCCGUUUGAGAAACAGCAUGGGCUAAUAUGAUUAGCAAGAGAAGACAGUUUUAGGGCAGUGUCAAAACAUCGACGAAUGGAUAUGGCACAGGCAAGACACAAGAAUAAUCCAAACCGGUCAGUCAACAGAAUCCAGGAGGGGUUAUCCAGAAACAUGAGCAAUAGUCCAGGCAAGGUGAAUGUGUGCAAUCAGUGCAAUGGCUGAUGGGAAAUGCAGUCCAGGGUGGAGUGCAACAUUCUGUGUGGUGUGAGAGGGAACAUACAGAAGAGCGUCCUCUGGUGACAACUGACUGAAAGCAUGGAAUUAACAACAGUUAUAUGGUAAAGGCUAAAGGAAAACAACAGAUGCGUCCACAUUUAAUCUGACG